rnacentral:rRNA from 1 species
AACGAACGCUGGCGGCAUGCCUAACACAUGCAAGUCGAACGACACCAUCGGGAGUGGUGGCGCACAGGUGCGUCACGCGGGGGACGCUGCCCUUAGGCUUGGGAUACCUCUCCGUCAGGGGUGCUAACGCCGGAUAAUGUCUUCUAACCCAAGAUAUAUCGCCCUUGGGUGGGCACGCGUUGGUUUAGCUUGUUGGUAGGGUAAGAGCCUACCAAGGGGACGAUCGAUAGCUGGUCUGAGAGGAAGAGCAGCCACUCUUAGUCGGAGACACGGCCCGGACUCCUGCGGGAGGCAGGAGUGGGGAAUAUUGGAAUACGGGGGAAGGGCUGAACGAGCAAGGCCGCGUGAGUGAUGAAGUCCUGAGGGAUGUAAAGCUCGUUUACCCGGGACGAUAAUGACAGUACCGGGAGAAUAAGCACCGGCUAACUCCGUG